AUGCUCCCUCCUUGAUGAUAAUGAACUCAACCUCUGAACCUCCCACUUCCUUCUGGGCCACGCUUGGCUCCCAGACGGCCAGCCCCCCAUUGCUCCUGCUCGAGGCUCUCAUGCUCAGAUGGCUACGGGAACACCAGAACACUGAAAACCCAGCCUUCUGCUCUCUUUACAACCCUGGGCCGGAGGCACACUGCAGCUCCAGCAUCACAUAUCACAGAGACGGCUCAGAGGUUAAAAGCACUGGCUGAUCUUCCAGAGGCCCCAGGUUCAACUCCCAGCACCCACAGCUCACAACUGCCAGUUCCAGGAGUCUGACACUCUCACAGAGACGUACACACAGGCACACAGAGGAGAAAACAGAAACUAUGUUCACACAAUAACUUGUUCAUGGUAUUCACGGCGGCAUGAUUCGUGAGCUCCACAAGGUAGGAUCAACACGAAGCCCUCCACAGACAAAGGGUCCGUGAAUAAGAGAAACCCCGUACAGUGGAAUACAACUUAAUA